GCUAUAUAUGUGAUGGGAUAUCACUCCCAUGAUUACUUUAUGUUAUAAGACACAGUUGACUGUAAGAAAGGGAGAUUAUCCUUAGUGGGGCUGACCUAAUGCAGUGAGCCUUUUAGAGCCAAGAGUUUUCUCCAGAUGGUCACAGAAGAGGAAGGCAGAGUGAUACUGGCUGGCCCAGAAGAAAGCAAACAUCCACGUGAAGCACCUAGGGUCUAUAUGGUAAGGAACUACAAGCAACCUCCAGAAACUGAGCACCGUCCCCAGCCAACAGUUAGCAAGAAAAUAGGGAUCUAAAUUAUAUAACUUCAAGGAAAUAAAUCCUGCCAACAACCAGUGAUCCUGGAAGAGGACUCCAAGCUCCAGAUGAGAGCCACAGCCCUGGCCAAUUCCUUGAUGUCAGCCUGGUGAGACACUAAGCAGAAAAAUCCAGGUGGAACUCCCAUCUCCCAUCCCCCUGGGGCAGGGGAAAGGAAUUUGUGGCAGCUGAAUUCAUACCUCCUGGUGCUAAGGAGCUUCCGGAGUAUAUGGGAAGGAGAGAACCAGCGUGAAUCAAACCAUCUCAAACCACAGGAUGUAUUACAAAAGAGUAGCAAGACAGCAUGUGCAGCAAGCACUGGAAACUUUGUAUUUGGAAUGGUUAAAUCUGACUGAGGCAGAAUACACAGUGGUUAGGAGCGCAUCUUUGGAAGAGGCUGCUUGGCAUUGAAUCCCGAAUCUACUGCUUUAUAGAUGAGUAUUCCUACAAAAGUGACUGAGUCUCUCCCUGCCUUGAUUUCCUUAUCUCUGGGGGAUAUAGUUCCAUUAAAAUUUGUGAGGGAGCUCAUUUUUAGUUGUCAAAUUUUCUUAUGAUGAUUAAACAUUUUGAGUAUUAUUUUUCAAAAUCUUAUAAAAUGUGAGUGUUUUGCCAUGAUCAGAUGCCAUGAGGACAAUGAAUCUGAGAGGCACGGGGAAGGCUGGCAGAGCAGCUUGGACAGAGGCGCUCUUGGGGUUGGGGAGGAGAAAUGAGGGCUGAGAUGGUGGUAGUGAAAAUGACAAGGGAAAGGGAACCAUGUAUAAGGAUAAGCGGAGAAGGCUAGCAGAGGGAGGGCUUGGCUGCAUGUGAAUAUCCUGAGGGCUUGAGGCUCCCUUUCGGGUGUGCCUGCUGCUGCCCUCUGCCCACUAUCCUUCCAAAGUCUGGGGGAUGCUGCGGUUUUCUUUCACUCUGCCUGUGGGGAAAAUAUUGGGCUGUAUUCAGCAUGCUAGGGAGAGCUGAAUUUUAUUGCCAGCUCACUGCACCACUGGUUUUAUCCCAGCUUCAAAAGUGUUCUUGAACAGCAAAUGCCAUUUGGAGGAGACUGUCUUUCUCAUCCUCCACCUUUGCUCUCCCUUUGCUCAUCUUUACUCCUUCAUUACUGUAUCUCUGGGUGUGUACCACAGGUAAGUACCAUGGCACAUGCUGUGGGGUACAUAUAUAGGAGACAACAUGAACUUCAUUCUGCAAGGGACACAGAAGGGCACCUCCAAUCAAUUCCUCAUUGCUUCUUUCCCUAGAAGACUUCAGAAAUCACAGCUUUGACAAGGGAAGGAGGGAAGGAGACCACUGGUUGUCGAAUCCCUACUGCUACGUGACAGCUCUCACACUGUGAUGAUGAUGUGAUUGGCAUAUAAAUCUUCUCUUUCACACUGGAACAGGGAAUAAAAGCAGAGCAUGCGCCAGGCCCUCAGGGAGGUUAAUGGGAUGAUCAUCACAGUCCAAAAGAAUUUCAAGCACUUCUUGAUGUGUGGUGCUAGGCCUGGAGGUGUGGAGGGCCUUCUGACUCCUUGCAGGUCCUAGAGGUAUCUGGCUCCUAAGCAAGCCCGUUUCAAGGGAGGAAGCUGAGAAAGAGGAGCAUCAAUUAUAACCAAGGCCUAUAUUCAUGAGGAUCCUCAUACAGUGGCUGGGUGAAGUGACUUUUGUUCUCUACUGCAAGUAGUGAUGUCUCAGUGAAGGUCUAUCAAUGAGAAGAAAGUGCCAACUGAAAACUUUUAGAAAAUACCCAGUUUACUCAAGGAAAAUAACAUGCAUUGAAGGUGAUUGCUCAAUAGAGAGAAGUUGAAACAGCAGACUAAUUGCCUGUUUGUGACACCCAUGUAAUCAACUUGCCAUUUGUACUCAUCAGUUCAGGCUGUGUUUUCCCACUGAGACAUCAUUUACAGUGCUCUAAACAUAUUUUCACAACAUUCACCUGACAACAUCAGCUGAGAGAAAAAUUUUCAGACUGCCGAGAAACAUCAGGAGGCCAUGAAUUCUUAAUCAACACACCAAAUUAUGAAAAUGUGUAAAUAGACAGCAUAUCUCUAGACCUGUGGUUAUCAAAAGAGCGUGUGUUAGAAUCACCGGACAGACUUAUGAACAAACGAAAUGCUGGGCCCCAUCUCCAGUGUUCUGACUCUGUAGGUCUGGAGUGGGGCUGAAGAUUUGCCUUUCCAACGAGUUCCAAGUGAUGCUGAGGCUGCUUCUCUGGGGACUAUAUUUUGAGAACUACUGAACUACCAUUCUAGGAGGGUGGGAAAAUGGGUUUUCAUCUUGGAGCACAAAUUAUUUGCAUGAAUUUAAGCAAGUCAUGAAUAUUCU
rnacentral:lncRNA from 1 species